ACAAUGGUGGUUCAGUGGUAGAAUUCUUACCUUCCAUGUGGGAGACCCAGGUUCAGUUCCUGACCAAGGCA
rnacentral:tRNA from 1 species